AUUGAACGCUGGCGGUAUGCUUAACACAUGCAAGUCGAACGAUGAGAAAGAGCUUGCUCUUUCGAUUAGUGGCGGACGGGUGCGUAACGCGUAGGAAUCUACCUAUUAGUGGGGGACAACUUAGGGAAACUUAAGCUAAUACCACAUACGCCCUACGGGGGAAAGAAGGGGAUCGCAAGACCUUUUGCUAAUAGAUGAGCCUGCGUAGGUUUAGCUAGUUGGUGGGGUAAAAGCUCACCAAGGCGACGAUCCUUAACUGGUUUGAGAGAAUGAUCAGCCACACUGGAACUGAGACACGGUCCAGACUCCUACGGGAGGCAGCAGUGGGGAAUAUUGGACAAUGGGCGAAAGCCUGAUCCAGCAAUACCGCGUGUGUGAAGAAGGCCUUAGGGUUGUAAAGCACUUUCAAUUGGAAGGAAAACCUCGAAGCUAAUACCUUCGAGUUUGACAUUACCUUUAGAAGAAGCACCGGCUAACUCCGUGCCAGCAGCCGCAGUAAAAC
rnacentral:rRNA from 1 species